rnacentral:lncRNA from 1 species
UGAGGGGAAACCUCUCCCCUGGGUCCCGUCCCAGGUGGAAGAUCAGGGGCAGCUUCGUGUGGUCUUCCAGAUUGUGAGUUGUGACCCCGGAAACGUUCUGCCCAGGGCAGAAAUCAAUGCCCUGCAAUGAGAAGAGGAGGGAAGGUGUGUCCUGGAGCCCCUGAACCACGGCCAUGAGGGGCCACGUCUGCCCGUGUCCUGGAGCCCCUGACCCGCGGCCAUGAGGGGCCUCGUCUGCCCGUGUCCUGGAGCCCCUGACUCGCGGCCGUGAGGGGCCUUGUCUGCCUGUGUCCUGGAGCCCCUAACUGGGGGCCGUGGGGGGGUCUCAUCUGCCUGUGCCUGGCAGCGUCCCUGGUACUCAGCAUGGUGCAGGGCGCUGGCUAAACGCUGAAGGACUAGCGGGCCCAUAAGCAUCCUGUGGAGGAGGUGAAGCCACCCGCUCUGGGCCCGAGAUGCGUAGCUGGCAUGCCUCACAUACCCCGCUUUCAUGUACCCCUCUUCUUUGCGAGGCAGGCAAGUGUAUUUAAAACACCUUAGCCAGCCUCAGAUCUGGACUGCCACUAAUUUCAUGGAGGAAAGCCCCUUUUAACAGCCCACUCUCUGCUGGGGAAGGGAGGGGAGGGGAGGGGAAGGGAGGGGAAGGGAGGCCCUGCCCUGGGAGAAGGGAGAGCCACAAUGCUCAGAAUCCCUACAGAAACCCUAAGACAGGGAGGAGCAGGACCAACAUGUGAAAGGCAAGAGAAAACACAGAAAACAGAAAACAGACCCAGGGAGCUGACGCAGAUUCACACACUCAAGAAGGGCGAGGAUUUUACAGUAACCACAGUUCUCUUUCUGCUGCCCCUGGGCUUCCUGAUUCAGGAAAGGGGAGGUAUGCCUCCAACAUUCCCAGAGCGGGUGCUGCAGGCCAAGGGGCUCGUCCGAGGACCGAUGCCCAGGACGGCCCUCGCAGGCGGCAAUGCUGGGGGACCGAUGCCCAGGACGGCCCUCGCAGGUGACAAUGCUGGGGGACCGAUGCCCAGGACGGCCCUCGCAGGCGGCAAUGCCGGGGACCGAUGCCCAGGACGGCCCUCGCAGGCGGCAAUGCCGGGGACCGAUGCCCAGGACGGCCCUCGCAGGCGACAGUGCCGGGGACCGAUGCCCAGGAUGGCCCUCGCAGGUGACAGUGCCGGGGACCGAUGCCCAGGAUGGCCCUCGCAGGUGACAGUGCCGGGGACCGAUGCCCAGGAUGGCCCUCGCAGGUGGCAGUGCCCGGGACCGAUGCCCAGGAUGGCCCUCGCAGGUGGCAGUGCCCAGGGAACGAUGCCCAGGAUGGCCCUCGCAGGUGGCAGUGCUGGGUAAAACCUGAAAGAAGAGCGGGUGCGGGGCCUGCACAGGGUGGGGAGGAGCCAAAACACUCCUGGGCAUCAUCGCCCUCCAGACACUGCCCCACGAGCAGCUUCCCUCCUCAGUCUGGGUGCUCAGCCCUCAGCCCAUCCUCACUUCCAGUCUUUAGACUCUCCAUUAAACUAAAUGAUUUUCUUCCCAAUUAAGGCAGAUUAGCAGGGGGUUCAUAUCUCAAGACUUUGAUGCUGGGAGUGGGUGGGGCUGAGAGACACCUCUCAGGAGAGGCUGGGGGAUGCUGGAGCGUAGGGGUCAGCAGGGGCCAGAGAAGACCGUGGGGAGGGAGCAGGAGGCUUGAGGCAAGGGCUCGUGGGAGAAAGCCUGGCGCUGACAAUGCUGGGGUAGCCAGGGGCGGCAGGAGCCCCAGGCCCUGUGCGUGUGGCGUUUCACCCUCCCACGCUGGGGGUUGCUGUGGUGAUGUUGAUGCUGCGGCCCCCAUGUAGCACCUGGGCCAAGCAGGCCAUGUCCCUGUUGCCUCCAGCCUGGGGUGUGGGGGAGGCUCAGAUGCCCUGGCAGGAUGGAGAGGCCCAUGGGGGCCACCUGACCAGGGUCUAGGCCACGCCUGUAGCUAUGCCGCGGGGCUACUGUCAUCACGCGGGGCAGGAAGAGGUCCCUCCCUCCUCUCCAGCCUGUCAGCUGCCAUGCCCUAGGCCAUGCUGAAGGACUGGGGGCCACACAGAGGAGGCUGUGGAGGGGGUGGAGUUCCUGCCUGUCUCACCCUCCUGUGCCUCCCCCAGGACGGUGCUCAGGGGCCACGUCUGGAUAGAGAUGGGGGCAGCUCCGCCUGCGCCCACAUCCCGAGCCCUGUACCUGUCUGAAGUUCUCCCAGGAGUUGGUCCAGGUCCAGAAGUGAGCCUUGUGCUGCCCGAGGGUGGCCGCCAUCAGCGUGUCGCCACGGUAAUAGAAGAUAGGCCUG